UCCCAAGGGGGCGGGCUUCUAGGAAGGCGGGCCCGGCGGACUACGUCCCCGGGCGCGCACGGAUGAUGUCACGCGGCGCUUGCCCCGGUAGCCCGUAGUAACCCGGAGUCUGCGGAAGUGGAGACCGGCGGCAGGCUGCUAAGACAGGUUACUGAAAGUUAUGGAAACAUAAUUUUUGACAUCAGUUGUUUUUUUGGAAAGCAGCCAUUUAUGAUUCUGGAAGAUUAAGGCAGAUAGGAAGCCCCAUUUGAGAUUUUAGCAAAGCUCUCAAACAAUAAACUAUACCAUGGACAUUAAGCUGGACCCUUCCAGAGAUGACCUGCCUCUCAUGGCCAACACCAGCCACAUACUUGUGAAGCACUAUGUACUGGAUUUACAUGUGGAUUUUGAAAGUCAAGUCAUUGAGGGGACCAUAGUGCUUUUCUUUGAGGAUGGAAACCAAUUCAAGAAAGGAAAUAGCUCCACCCAGGAAGCCUGCCAAUUGGAGUCAAAUGAAUCCUGCAAAUUUAGGAUGCCUGAAUCCUGCCAUAUUCCUGUGACAAAUGCAAGGACCUUCUCAUCUAAAAUGGAAUAUAAUGAUUUUGCAAUUUCUAGUAAAGGUGAAAAAGAUACUUCUGAUAAAGAUGGUAACCAUGACAACCUGGAACAGGCUUCUGGGAUUUCUAGCUCAAAGUACUGCUGUGACACAGGGAAUCAUGGGAGUGAGGAUUUUUUGCUAGUGUUGGACUGCUGUGAUUUAUCUGUGUUAAAAGUUGAGGAGGUGGAUGUUGCUGCUGUGCCAGGUAUUGAACAAUUUACAAGGUCUCCCAAGCUCACAGUUGCUUCUGAGGAGCUCAGGAAUCAGAUUGUACAUGAACUUGUGACUCUGCCUGCAGAUCGUUGGAGGGAGCAGUUAGACUACUAUGCUCGCUGCAGCCGGGCUCCUGGCUGUGGGGAACUCUUCUUUGACACUGACACUUGGAGCUUACAGAUCAGGAAGACAGGGGCUCAGACAGCUACUGACUUUCCUCAUGCUAUCAGGAUAUGGUACAAAACCAAACCCGAGGGGCAAUCAGUUACAUGGACUUCAGACCAGUGUGGCAGGCCAUGUGUUUAUACUAUGGGAUCUCCCAUAAACAACAGGGCCCUUUUUCCAUGCCAGGAGCCACCCGUUGCCAUGUCAACAUGGCAGGCUACAGUUCGAGCAGCUGCAUCUUUUGUUGUUUUAAUGAGUGGGGAAAAUUCUGCCAAGCCAACACAGCUUCAGGAAGGGUACACAAGCUGGCAUUACUAUGUAACUAUGCCCAUGCCAGCCUCCACCUUCACAAUUGCCGUGGGAUGCUGGACAGAAAUGAGGCCGGAGACAUGCUCCUCAAAUGACUUGGCAGCAGAGAGACCCUUGCCACCUUCCGAGGCUGACUUCAGGUACAUUGGCAUUUGUGGUCACAUGGAAUACCCCUGCCGCUUCCAGAAUGAUUCUGCCACCGCCCAGGAGAUUAUUCCUCAUCGGGUCUUUGCCCCGAUGUGCCUCGAGAGUGCUUGCCAAGAGACCCUUCUGCGGCUGAUUCCGCCUUGCCUCUCAGCAGCACAUUCUGUCCUGGGAACACACCCGUUCUCCCGGCUAGAUAUACUCAUCGUCCCUGCCAACUUUCCAAGUCUGGGGAUGGCCAGCCCACACAUCAUCUUCCUCUCUCAGAGCACCUUGACAGCAACGAGCCAUCUCUGUGGGACCCGUCUCUGCCAUGAAAUUGCGCACGCCUGGUUUGGCCUAGCCAUCGGGGCCCGCGACUGGACGGAGGAGUGGCUGAGUGAAGGGUUUGCCACUCACUUGGAAGAUGUAUUCUGGGCUAAAGCACAACAGCUCGCCCCGUCUGAGGCCCGGGAGCAGCAAGAGCUGAGGGCCUGCCUGCGCUGGCGUCGCCUCCAGGACGAGCUUCGGGACUCCCCGGAGGAGAUGCAGGUGUUAAGACCCAGUAAAGAAAAAACUGGCUUUGUGAGUGACUCGGGAGCAUCAGUUAUCAAACAUGGACUCAAUCCAGAGAAGCCCUUCAUGCAGGUGCAUUAUUUAAAGGGCUACUUCCUUCUUCGGUUCCUUGCCACAAAACUUGGAGAUGAAACCUAUUUCUCAUUUUUAAGAAAAUUUGUGCACGUGUUUCAUGGGCAAUUGAUUCUUUCCCAGGAUUUCCUUCAAAUGCUAUUGGAGAACAUCCCAGAAGAAAAAAGGCUUGACUUGUCUGUUGAAAACAUCUUCCAAGACUGGCUUGAGAGUUCCGGAAUACCAAAGCCGCUGCAGAGCGAGCGUCAGGCCGGCGCGGAGGGCGGACUCGCGCGGCAAGUGAGCGCCGAGGUCACGAAAUGGGUUCGAAUGAACCAGAGACCCCGAAAGCGGAAACGAAGGGAGAAGAAAGAGGUGUUUGAAAAGCUUCUUCCAGACCAGCUGGUCUUGCUUCUGGAGCAUCUCUUGGAGCAGAAGACCUUAUACCCUCGAACUCUGCAAAGCCUCCAGAGGACAUACCACCUCCACGAUCAGGAUGCCGAGCUGGGCUUCGUGUAAUCUCCCGGGGAGCCCUUAACAUCAUUUCGGGCCUUGGAGAAAGGGCAGGGGAGGGAAGGAGACAGUGUCGAAGUGGGUCCCUCCAGCCCUCACUGCUGCCCCUCAGGUGGGACGGCUUUCUGUGGGGUGGUGCCCUCUGGGGCAGGCGGCCAGAGCUGGCUCUCCCCAGGAGCCCAUCAUCUGUUCCUCUGGCCGAGGGGAAUAGGAAGGGCCCUGCCAGCAUCCGGUUUCCUAAGUUUGAGAAGGCGCAGUGCUCACUUGAGCGAGCGUGGCGCCAGCCUGCAGCACUCCCUCGGCUCCCAGUGGGGGUGGGUUCAGAGAAAGGGCUGAGGGGCAGGAGGACAACUGCCAGGACCCAGCAAGGCCAGUCUCCCCGCCAUGCGCUGUGGGGGGAGGCUCGGGCCAGAAGAGACACUGGGUGCCUGCAGGGUGCCAGGUGCUGUCUUGGGUACGUGCAGUGUCCCUGUUGUUUAUUUUUAAACAAGUAAAGUAAGUUUUUUUAAAAAAAGGCAAGUUGACCACCACCCCGAUUAAUGGAUUAAAAAUGAGCACAAAUGUAUAGAAGGGACAGCUUUCCCUUUGCAGACUGGCUCCAGCUGCCCAGCACGCAGACUUCAUUUUCCUGCUGUCCUCAGUGGAGGAGGCGCUUCCUACAGGAGGGGCGGCCUGUGUCACGGGCCGUGAGGCCCCUCAGUGACCUGGAGAUGGGACAUUCCACCAGUGCCCACUUUGGAAACACUGACGUCCCCCACCCCAUGUGGUGGUCCGCCACCGGUGGUGUGAGCUCAUCGUUAAGCACAAGUACACGGCAGCGUACAGAAGCGUGGAGAGAUUCCUUCAGGAGGACCAGG